rnacentral:misc_RNA from 1 species
ACCGUCCGUGUCGAGGACGCGAAAGGCGAGCCGCCGACCAUCCCUUUCUGGUUCGGCGAAGCUCCGGGCCGGACUGACGAGUUGUCCAUCUCCGUUUCGCGCCUGCGCGAGGAAAUCGAAAGUCGUUUCGAUGAGCACUCGCACAGCGGUGAGACGACUGCCUCCACU